rnacentral:rRNA from 1 species
AGGGCUCGCAGGCGGUUUUUUAAGUCCUGAUGUGAAAGCCCCCGGCUCAACCGGGGAGGGUCAUUUCGGAAACUGGGGAACUUGAGUGCAGAAGAGGAGAGUGGAAUUCCACGUGUAGCGGUGAAAUGCGUAGAGAUGUGGAGGAACACCAGUGGCGAAGGCGACUCUCUGGUCUGUAACUGACGCUGAGGAGCGAAAGCGUGGGGAGCGAACAGGAUUAGAUACCCUGGUAGUCCACGCCGUAAACGAUGAGUGCUAAGUGUUAGGGGGUUUCCGCCCCUUAGUGCUGCAGCUAACGCAUUAAGCACUCCGCCUGGGGAGUACGGUCGCAAGACUGAAACUCAAAGGAAUUGACGGGGGCCCGCACAAGCGGUGGAGCAUGUGGUUUAAUUCGAAGCAACGCGAAGAACCUUACCAGGUCUUGACAUCCUCUGACAAUCCUAGAGAUAGGACGUCCCCUUCGGGGGCAGAGUGACAGGUGGUGCAUGGUUGUCGUCAGCUCGUGUCGUGAGAUGUUGGGUUAAGUCCCGCAACGAGCGCAACCCUUGAUCUUAGUUGCCAGCAUUCAGUUGGGCACUCUAAGGUGACUGCCGGUGACAAACCGGAGGAAGGUGGGGAUGACGUCAAAUCAUCAUGCCCCUUAUGACCUGGGCUACACACGUGCUACAAUGGACAGAACAAAGGGCAGCGAAA